GGGGUUUGUUGAGAACGAGGAGCUGCCUAUUAGAAUGAAGCUCGCUAAAAUCAUGAUGUUUUCUGAGACAGUGGUGUUACUAUGAGCCUGUAGCUUGAUGUUAGCAGGGAGAUUUUUCAUGCUUGGGAUUGUGAACUGAAACUGUUCACAUGAACUUGGAAUUCCCAGUAAGUGUGAGUCAUUAACUCGCAUU
rnacentral:rRNA from 1 species